GAUGAACGCUGGCGGCGUGCCUAAUACAUGCAAGUCGAGCGAACGGACGAGAAGCUUGCUUCUCUGAUGUUAGCGGCGGACGGGUGAGUAACACGUGGAUAACCUACCUAUAAGACUGGGAUAACUUCGGGAAACCGUAGCUAAUACCGGAUAAUAUUUUGAACCGCAUGGUUCAAAAGUGAAAGACGGUCUUGCUGUCACUUAUAGAUGGAUCCGCGCUGCAUUAGCUAGUUGGUAAGGUAACGGCUUACCAAGGCAACGAUGCAUAGCCGACCUGGGAGGGUGGGCGGCCACACUGGAACUGAGCCACGGUCCAGACUCCUCCGGGAGGCAGCAGUAGGGAAUCUUCCGCAAUGGGCGAGAGCCUAACGGAGCACCGCCGCGUGAGUGAUGAAGGUCUUCGGAUCGUAAAGCUCUGUUAUUAGGGAAGAACAUAUGUGUAAGUAACUGUGCACAUCUUGACGGUACCUAAUCAGAAAGCCACGGCUAACUACGUG
rnacentral:rRNA from 1 species